UGGUUCUCGCAUCGAUGAAGAACGCAGCGAAAUGCGAUAAGUAAUGUGAAUUGCAGAAUUCAGUGAAUCAUCGAAUCUUUGAACGCAUAUUGCGCCCUUUGGUAUUCCGAGGGGCAUGCCUUUUCGAGCGUCAUAAAUAAAAGCCAGGUUGCCUUGGUGUUGGGCCUGCGUCGCAAAGUCGAUGCGCCUUAAAGUAAUUCGGCGGCUCCGCACGAGCUAUGGGCGUAGUGGAAAAGAAGCGCUCGUUGGUGAUGUGCGGGCUUAAGCCUCGCAAGUAAAAUCUUUUUUGCAGGGAAAAGAAAAAAGAUUGACCUCGGAUAAGGUAGGGAUACCCGCUGA
rnacentral:misc_RNA from 1 species